rnacentral:rRNA from 1 species
UUAAAUCAGUUAUCGUCUAUUUGAUAGUACCUUACUACUCGGAUAACCGUGGUAAUUCUAGAGCUAAUACGUGCUGAAAACCCCGACUUCGGAAGGGGUGUAUUUAUUAGAUUAAAAGCCAAUGCCCCCCGGGGCCCCUUGGUGAUUCAUGAUAACUCCUCGAAUCGCACGGCCUUGCGCCGGCGAUGGUUCAUUCAAAUUUCUGCCCUAUCAACUUUCGACGGCUGGGUCUUGGCCAGCCGUGGUGACAACGGGUAACGGAGGGUUAGGGCUCGACCCCGGAGAAGGAGCCUGAGAAACGGCUACUACAUCCAAGGAAGGCAGCAGGCGCGCAAAUUACCCAAUCCCGACGCGGGGAGGUAGUGACAAUAAAUACUGAUACAGGGCUCUUUCGGGUCUUGUAAUUGGAAUGAGUACAAUUUAAUUCCCUUAACGAGGAACAAUUGGAGGGCAAGUCUGGUGCCAGCAGCCGCGGUAAUUCCAGCUCCAAUAGCGUAUAUUAAAGUUGUUGCAGUUAAAAAGCUCGUAGUUGAACCUUGGGCCUGGCUGGCCGGUCCGCCUCACCGCGUGCACUGGUCCGGCCGGGCCUUUCCCUCUGGGGAACCGCAUGCCCUUCGCUGGGCGUGCCGGGGAACCAGGACGUUUACUUUGAAAAAAUUAGAGUGUUCAAAGCAGGCUUAUGCUCGGAUACAUUAGCAUGGAAUAAUGGAAUAGGACGUGCGGUUCUAUUUUGUUGGUUUCUAGGACCGCCGUAAUGAUUAAUAGGGACAGUCGGGGGCAUCCGUAUUCAGUUGUCAGAGGUGAAAUUCUUGGAUCUACUGAAGACGAACUACUGCGAAAGCAUUUGCCAAGGAUGUUUUCAUUAAUCAGGAACGAAAGUUAGGGGAUCGAAGACGAUCAGAUACCGUCGUAGUCUUAACCAUAAACUAUGCCGACUAGGGAUCGGACGGUGUUGCUUUUUGACCCGUUCGGCACCUUGCACGAAAGUAC